rnacentral:misc_RNA from 1 species
UUAACUAUUAUAUAGUACUCAGACGACACUAAUAAACAAGAGUUUGUGGUCCUCUGGCGAGCACGCACCGACCGAAGUCGGUGGCCGAAGCGGCUCGCCAAAGCAACAAAGGUAUAAUAACAUAGGGUUGGAGAGUCACCCGUGAGGGCGAUGUUCUCUGUAAUGAUCCCUCCGCAGGUUCACCUACGGAGA